rnacentral:rRNA from 1 species
AAUCAACGCUGGCGGCGUGCCUAACACAUGCAAGUCGAACGCGAAAGUCCCGCAAGGGAUCAGUAGAGUGGCAAACGGGUGAGUAACACGUGGGUGACCUGCCUUCGAGCGGGGGAUAACGUCCCGAAAGGGACGCUAAUACCGCAUAACAUCCUGCCUUUGAAGAGGUGGAGAUCAAAGCUGGGGAUCGCAAGACCCGGCACUUGAAGAGGGGGCCCGCGCCUGAUUAGCAGUUGGUGAGGUAACGGCUCACCAAGGCAACGAUCAGUAUCCGGCCUGAGAGGGCGGACGGACACACUGGGACUGAGACACGGCCCAGACUCCUACGGGAGGCAGCAGUGGGGAAUUGUUCGCAAUGGGCGCAAGCCUGACGACGCAACGCCGCGUGGAGGAUGAAGAUUUUCGGAUCGUAAACUCCUGUCGAAUGGGACGAAAAGAUUGCGGGUGAAC